rnacentral:rRNA from 1 species
GAUGAACGCUGGCGGCGUGCCUAAUACAUGCAAGCCGAGCGAACGGACGAGAAGCUUGCUUCUCUGAUGUUAGCGGCGGACGGGUGAGUAACACGUGGAUAACCUACCUAUAAGACUGGGAUAACUUCGGGAAACCGGAGCUUAUACCGGAUGAUAUUUUGAACCGCAUGGUUCAAAAGUGAAAGACGGUCUUGCUGUCACUUAUAGAUGGAUCCGCGCUGCAUUAGCUAGUUGGUAAGGUAACGGCUUACCAAGGCAACGAUGCAUAGCCGACCUGAGAGGGUGAUCGGCCACACUGGAACUGAGACACGGUCCAGACUCCUACGGGAGGCAGCAGUAGGGAAUCUUCCGCAAUGGGCGAAAGCCUGACGGAGCAACGCCGCGUGAGUGAUGAAGGUCUUCGGAUCGUAAAACUCUGUUAUUAGGGAAGAACAUAUGUGUAAGUAACUGUGCACAUCUUGACGGUACCUAAUCAGAAAGCCACGGCUAACUACGUG